CGCGGGAUGGAGCAGUUGGUAGCUCGUCGGGCUCAUAACCCGAAGGUCAUAGGUUCGAGUCCUGUUCCCGCUA
rnacentral:tRNA from 2 species